AUUAAGAAAUUGAAUUAUUAUCGAAAUUGUAUAGGUUAAGUAAUUGAAGCUGAACCACUGUACAGAGAAGUUGUUGUUGUAAGCGCUAGCACGGGAGUGUCGCUCUC